ACUAAAUAUUUUUGAUAUAGUAAUCAUUUCAGCAAGUAUUGAAAGGAAAUAAAAAAUGAAAAAAACUCAUCACUACGUUUAGAAUAUGACAGUUUGUGAAGCAAGUCUGUACUUCACAACCAGGGAUAUGCAGGAGAUGUGUGUUACAGUAGCUGGAAACAUGAUUGAUGGUUUUAGAAGGAGUCAGGGGUAAUGAAUAAUGAAUAAGAAACAAUUAAUUGUAUAACAUGAGUCAAGCCAGAUGGUUAGAAAACUGCAAACCGGUAUCUGACAUGACAGGUUCUCUUUAAGAAGACACUAAGACACACUUAUCUUUUCUUCAUUUUGUUAUA